AUGUAUUUUGAGUUCAGUAGAUAUCAGUAUAAGGGGAAGACGACACACAUGGCGGUGACACAAUUUCAGCCUGUGUAUGCGCGGCGAUGCUUUCCCUGUUGGGAUGAGCCUGCUUUUAAGGCGAAGUUCAAGAUAACAUUAGAAGUUUCAUCUGAGAUGGUAGCACUUUCCAACAUGCCUAUAUCUAGUGAGACAGUGGGUGGUUCUAUGAGGAUUAUCCAUUUUGAGGAAUCACCUCUCAUGUCAACUUAUUUAGUUGCCAUGGUUGUUGGUAUUUUUGACUUUGUUGAGGAUGUAGCAUCGAAAGGCACUAAAGUUUGUGUGUACACUGAAGUUGGUAAGAGUUCACAAGGGAAGUUUGCAUUGGAUGUUGGGGUGAAGUCAUUGGAUUUCUAUAAUGAUUACUUUGGCACUCCCUAUGCACUCGCUAAGUUGGAUAUGAUUAGUAUCCCGGAAUUUAAUUGGAUGGGAAUGGAGAAUUAUGGACUGAUCACUUUCCAUCCCACGGUCUUUCUUUUUGAUGGUCCUUCUACAACAUCCACAAAACUACAGGAAAUUGCAGUACUUGUGGCACAUGAAUUGGCUCAUCAAUGGUGUGGAAAUCUUGUAACCAUGGAAUGGUGGAAUCACUUAUGGUUAAACGAGGGAUUUGCUACAUGGAUGAGCUAUCAAGCAGUAGAUUCCUUUUUUCCGAAGUGGAAUAUUUUGCUGGAUUUUCUUGAGAACACAAUGUCUACUCUUAAAUUGGAUUCAAUAGCAGGGUCUCAUCCGAUAGAGGUUGAAAUACACCAUAUCAAUGAAAUCGAUAGGAUUUUUGACGACAUCAUAUAUAUUAAAGGUGCUUCUAUUCUUCAAAUGAUACAGAGCUACAUUGGAGCAGAGCAUUUUCAGAAAGCAUUGAAGAAAUAUAUACAAAAAUAUGCCUACUCAAAUGCUAAAACAGAGGACCUAUGGGUCGUGCUUGAAGAAGAAACUGGCGAGCCAUUCAAGGAUUUCAUGAGUACGUGGACAAAGCAACCAGGAUAUCCUAUAAUUAAUAUAAAACAUAAAGGGAAAGGAAUCCAAGUUGAACAGGCCCAAUUUGUGCUAGAUGGGUCCUCUCGAGCUGGCUUGUGGGAUGUGCCAAUAACUUUAAGAUGCUCUUCAUCAACAAAUAAAUUCAUUUUGAAACACAAGCAUGAUAAUUUUGAUGUAUGUGGUGAACGGGAGAGGGGUGGAAAUAUUUGGAUUAAGUUGAAUAUAAAUGAAACAGGGUUUUAUCGAGUGAAGUAUGACAAAGAAAUUAAAACUAGACUUCAAAACGCAUUAGAGGCCAAUGAGUUCUCUUCAAUGGAAAAAAUUGGAAUUUUGGAGAACUCACUUAUGCUUUCUAUAUCUCGAGAAGACACACUAGCAUCAUUGCUAUGUAUAGUGUAUGCUUGUCGUGAAGUAGCUGACUACAGUGUUUUGACACAUACAAGCUAUAACUAUAACCGUUUACCAUGUAUCUAUUGA
rnacentral:rRNA from 1 species